UUCAAAUCAUACUAUUUAUUUAUGUCAUUCAUGCAGGCCAUUGAAGUGACUGAAUCUAGCCAAAUGCUAAAAGUUUUAGAAAGAUUUUCACAUUCUAAAUGCUAUCCAGAGUAGAUCUACAGAAUGAGAAGUCAUGUAGCAAUGCAUGAUGGAAGAAAGUUUUGAAGAUAUAUGUGAACACAUUCAAAGGCUUUAGCAAAGACUUGCUGUUGAUAAAACAGUAAGUAACAAGAUAUUAGUGCUUGGGAAACAGCCAGAAUUGGACAUUAGUGAUGAGGAUAUUCUUGAGCUUGUUGCAUUGACGCUGAAAGCAUUCUAUUAAGGAGCUAAUCAAACUAGAAGAGCAAAAAAAUAAAGAAGCUGACAGAGAAGAAGUUGCACAUGAAGUACCAAGAAAGGUCACAGCAAACAAACUAACAGAGGAAUCUGCUACUAUCAGCAGUGGCAUUUAGAUGUUAGAAGAAACACACGUCAGUCACAAGACAUUCACAAGAGCUGAUGGGCAGAUACAGGAUGCUUGCUACAGAAAAAUAUAUAAUAAGAAAAAACAAAAUAUAUAGAAAGAAAAAACAAACUGCACAAAACUUGGUACCUUCCUAAAGAACACUACAUGGCUAAACCAUCAACAAGUGUUGAUGCCCUAGGGCCUUCUACCAGCUAUUCCUGAUCCUCAUCAUAAUAAACUGAUGAUCCUAUCAUUGUAGCAUCACCAUUAUCCAGCAAUUAAUUUUAGUUCACCAUUUCAAACAUUCUUUAGGCUUGGCUGUGUAUGUUAAUGAUAAGUACCCACACAAUCAUAGUUUUUCACUUUCAGAAUAGUAUUCAAUAAAUUACAUGAGAUAUUCAACACUUUAUUAUAAAAUAGGUUUUGUGUCAGAUGACUGCCCAACUGUAAACUAAUGUAAGUGUUCUGAGUAUGCUUAACAUAGGCUAGGCUAAACCAUGAUGUUCAGUAGGUUAGGUGUACUAAAUGCAUUUUUGACCACGAUAUGUUCAAUUUACAAUGGGUUAGUUUAUCGACACAUAACUCCAUCAUAAGUCAAGGAAGAGCUGUAUGAGUUUGCAAAAAAAGAAAAUGUUAACAGAAAAAAAAAUCUUGAAAUUUCAAAGAACAGAAUGGAAAAAGUAAACACUACACUUCUCACAGGUUUUGUAAAAAUUGCUUGAUAGUUAAAACAAAAAUGUCAACCAAUAUGAUGCUCAGUGUAUAAAGAAGAAAUACUUAACACAAUUAUUAAAGAGUGGGGAAUGUGAAAGGAUCCAAUGAAAGGAAAGCUUCUACAUAUCAAAGUGCUGAUAGCAUAGGCUGUGAUAAAUUAUAGAUGUAUAAAGCAAUACCUAAAAUAAUCAGUAAAAUACAAAGAGAUAUACUCAAAAAAUCACAGAUAUAUCAAAUGGAAUUCUGAAAAUUAAAGUAACCCACAGGAAGGCAAAAUAAAAAUAACAAACAAAACCCCCCAAAACAAUAGAGGAAAAAUAAACAGGGAACAAAGAAAAAACAAAUCAUAAACAGGCAAACCUAACACAUCAAUAAUUAUUUUAAACUCAAAUGAUCUAAACAUAACAAUUUUAAAAGAAAUCAGCAAAAUGGGGAUGCCUGGGUGUCUCAGCAGUUGGGCACCUGCCUUUGGCCCAGGGUGUCAUCCUGGAGUCCUGGGAUUGAGUCCCACAUUGGGCUCCCUGCAUGAAGCCUGCUUUUCUCUCUCUCUCUCUCUGUCUCCCAUGAAUGAAUGAAUAAAAUCUUAAAAAAAAAAAAAAAGAAAAGAAAAGAAAAGAAAAAAGAAAUCAGCCAAAUGGCUAAAAACAAAGCACGACCAAAAAUAUAAACCAAGAAAUGCAAAAUAUUAACCAAAAACUGCAACAGUGGCUAUAUUAAUAACAGAUAAACUAUAUUCCAAAAAAAAUUUAGAGACAAAAAGGUACAUAGCAUAAUGAUAAAAAGGUCAACACACCAAGAUGAACGAGCAAUCCUCAAUGUGUACACACCUACAACAGAGCUUCGAAAUACUCAAAGCAAAAACUGAUAGAACUUAAAAGAAGAAACAGACAAUUCCAGAUUAUACUGCAGUCUUCAAAGUCCCUCUCUCAGCAAUUGAAAUACUAAACAGAAAAUCAGCAAGGAUGCAGAAAAUCUGAAUAACAUCAUCAAUCAACAGGAUCAUGUGGACAUUUACACAAACUCCAUCCAACAGCAGAAUACACAUUCUUCUCAAGAAACCAAACAUUCAUCAAGAUAGACCAUUUUGGGUCAUAAAGCAAACCUCAACAAAUUUAGACAACCAGAUCAAAUACAAAACAAACUAGAAGUCAUUAACAAGAACAUGAAACACUCCAAACACUAGGAAAUUAAGCAAUAUACUUCUAAAUGACUUAUGGGUUAGAGAGGAAGUCUUGAAUAAAUAAAUUUUUAGAACCAAAUGAAAUGUAAUUAAAAUGUAUUACAACUUGUGAGGAAAGUGCUGUGACGAAAAUUUAUAGAAUAUAAAGCUUACAUUAGAAAAGUAAAAAAAUCUCAAAUUCUAAGCAUCCGUCCCAAGAAACUACAGAGGAAAAUACCACAAAAGCAGGUGGAAGAACAAAUAUAAUAAAGGUCAAUACAGGUAUCAGUGAAAUUAGGAAAAAAAGGUAACAGAGAAAAAACAGUGGUGUAAAGUGCUGUUUCUUUAAAAAGAUCCAAAAAAAAAAAAAAAAAGGAUAAAUAAGAAGACUGACAAAGAUAAAAAGAGAAUUGACACACUUCUAAUAUCAGGAAUCUAACUGGAGAUGUAAGUACAGAUUCUUCCAUCAUAAACAGUAUAUUAAAGGAAUACUUGAAACAAAUAAAAACAUUUAGAUGAAAUGGAACAAUUCCUAAAAAAGGACAACUAUGAAAAUUCAUCCAAUAUGAAAUAGAUAUUCUGAAUAGUUCUAUACAUAUUAAAUAAAAUAAAUACAUAAUUAAAAAGCAUUCAAAAGAAAAAUCUCCAGGCAUACAUGGCUCACUGGAGAAUGCUACCAAACAUUUAUAAAACAAAUGAAAGCAAUUCUAGACACUAUCUUCCACAUUAUAGAACACUCCCAAUACAUACUUGGAGGCCACUAUCACCUAGACACCAAAACCAAUGACAGUACGAAACAAAGAUAAAAGACAAACAAAAAAGAACAAAAGAAAGGAAACUACAUAUCAUUACCACUCAUGAAAUUAGAGGAAGAUUUCCUCAACAACAUGCUAGCAUAUUAAAUACUGUAACACAAUAUAUAAAAGUAAUUAUACUCUACAACCACGUAGGGCUUAUUUCAAGAACACAAAGCUGGUUCCACAUUCAAAACUCAAAUCAAUAUCAACAAGCUACAGAAGAAAAAACACUAUUAAUUGGUAAAGAAGUAGUAUAUGGUAAUAUUCAACACCCAUUCACAAUAACAGAAAAAAACCCAGCAAAUUAGGAAUAUGGGAAACUUACUAAACUUGGUAAGAAAAUUCUAUAAAGAAAAAAAACCUUAUACUAACAUCAUACUUGAUGAAAAAGUGUUUUCCCACUAUCAGAAACCAGACAAGGAUAUUCUUUCUUACUACUACUGAUCAACAUAUUGGAAAUCCUAGCUAGCAGACAAGAAAAGACAAUACUAGGUAUAUAUAUGAUGAUAUAUAUAUGAUGAGGAAAAAAAAGAACUGUCUAUUUGCAGAUGAUAUUUUUAAGUUUUAUAACCCCAAGCAUUCUACCAAAACAAAUAAAUGCCUACAGUUCAGCAAGGUUGCAAGAUACCAUAAUGACAUCCAAAAUUUAAUUACAUUUCUGUAUACUACCAAAACUUAUGUGGAAAUUGAAAGUUCAAAAGUCAAUGCCAUUUAUAAUAAAAGAAAAAACAUUUAGAUGCAAAUCUUAUAAAAUUCAUACAAGACCUAUUAUUGAAAUCUAUAAAACAGUGAUGAAGUAAAUCAAGCAAUAGAGACAUCCUGUGUUCAUAAAUUGAAGAGUUAACACUGUAAAGAUGCCAAUUCUCAACUGAUCUGACAAUUUAACCCAAUUUCUAUAGAAAUUCCAUAGAUUUUCUUCAUAAAAAUAGGCUUCUCCAAAACUUUAUGUGAAGUUCAAAGUAAUACAGAGUGCUAAAUUAGGUUUAAAUUAAAAAAAAAUAAAGAGAGAGAAAUCAUUUUAUAAAGCUGGAGGAUUUACACUUAAUUACAACAAUCAAGGAAACCAAUCGUAAAGGACAAGAAAAAGUCUAAGUAUCAUCUCUUUAAAACCACAUGAAGAUUAAAAAAAAAAAGAGCCUUAAAGAGUCUUAAAUGGUGCAAUAAAAUGGGCUCGCAUUCGUAUGUGUAUUUUUAUGUCCUCAAAUAUAAAGGUGUUUGAUGGGUCCAGCCUUUAUAGUUCUCAACAAAAAUUAAGCUCCUUAAACAGAGACAAUGUUUUAGAACAAAGAAGAUGUUCAUAAAAGUUUCCAAAUCUGCCCUCAAUUGUCUAACUCUCUUGACACUGGACAACAAUGAAUGCAUAUACACAACACAUAAAAGUCUAGGUCCUUUACUGCUAAAACAAAACCCUCCUCCUGCCAAGUAAACUAGAGACUCCAUGACAAAGUGCCAAAGGCUUGGCAAGGAAAUCUGGGGGAAAAAAAAAGUGUUUGUUUGCCGUUCAUUCUAAGUCUCCUUUCUUUAUUUAAAAAAAAAAAAAAAAAAAAAAAAAAA
rnacentral:lncRNA from 1 species